UACGAAGGGGGCUAGCGUUGUUCGGAUUUACUGGGCGUAAAGCGCACGUAGGCGGAUUGUUAAGUCAGGGGUGAAAUCCCGGAGCUCAACUCCGGAACUGCCUUUGAUACUGGCAAUCUUGAGGCUGGAAGAGGUUAGUGGAAUUCCCAGUGUAGAGGUGAAAUGCGUAGAGAUUAGGAAGAACACCAGUGGCGAAGGCGACUUACUGGACUGUAACUGACGCUGAGGCAUGAAAGCGUGGGGAGCAAACAGG
rnacentral:rRNA from 1 species